GCCAGACUAUAAAGGAGGGGGCGGGGGCGUGGCGGCGCGACAGCCGAAAGUCCAGGCAGGCGGAGGAGCGGAGCCGGGGUAGACGCGGAGCUCUGAGUGCGCGUCCUCAGCCCGGCGCAGCGCCGAGCCAUGUCUGAUCCAGCUCUGCAAUCUGCUCCUGGGGCCCCAGAAGGGGGUGCUCUUGGUGGGGGUCCCCCUGGGCCUCCCCCCAACAUGAGUAGUAACCUUCGGCUGCAGCAGUCCCAGGCCCAGAUGGAGGAGGUGGUGAGCAUAAUGAGUGUGAAUGUGGAGAAAGUGCUGGAUCGAGACAUCAGGCUGACCGAGAUGGAUGGCAAGGCAGAGGCACUUGAGGCUGGUGCCUCAGUGUUUAAAACUAGUGCAGGAAAGCUAAAGAGGAAGUACUGGUGGAAGAACUGUAAGAUGAUGAUCAUGCUUGGAGUGAUCUGUGCCAUUGUGAUGGUGGCGAUUGUACUCUGAUUCCAGGACCUGCUUUCACAGACAGAAUAAAGGAAGAGUCAAGAUGACAGGUCGGGAACGGUGCCCGAAAAUCCUGUUUGUUUUGAACAUGACAGACAUUACAGCAUCCAAAAUAUCAAAGCCUUUAUAGGAGCACUGUAUUUAUGUGAGUACUGGCAUGCCUGUAAAACCACUGGUGUACAUGUAUUAGUGAAGAAUGCCUUGAAGUGUAUGGGGAAAGAAUGAGAUGUCCCAGCUGUAAACUGUUUUGCAGGUUGAAUGCCUGUUUAGAAAGACGCAGAGCUCUGUCAGCAGACAGUAAAAUUGACUGAAACUAGAAGUGUUUUUGAUAAGUAUGGUUUCUAUGAUGUUAAAAGUCAUAGGGUAUGUCUACACUACGGAAUAAGGUCGAAUUUAUAGAAGUCGGUUUUUUAGAAAUCGGUUUUAUAUAUUCGAGUGUGUGUCCCCCCACAGAAAAUGCUCUAAGUGCAUUAAGUGCAUUAACUCGGUGGAGUGCUUCCACAGUACCGAGGCUAGAGUCGACUUCCGGAGCGUUGCACUGUGGAUAGCUAUCCCACAGUUCCCGCAGUCUCCGCUGCCCAUUGGAAUUCUGGGUUGAGAUCCCAAUGCCUGAUGGGGCUAAAACAUUGUCGCGGGUGGUUCUGGGUACAUAUCGUCAGGCCCCCCUUCCCUCCCUCCCUCUGUGAAAGCAAGGGCAGACAAUCGUUUCGCGCCUUUUUUCCUGAGUUACCUGUGCAGACGCCAUACCACGGCAAGCAUGGAGCCCGCUCAGGUAACCGUCACCCUAUGACUCCUGGGGGCUGGCAGACGCGGUACGGCUUUGCUACACAGUAGCAGCAACCCAUUGCCUUGUGGCAGCAGACGGUACAGUACGACUGGUAGCCAUCAUCGUCAUGUCCGAGGUGCUCCUGGCCACGUCGGCUGGGAGCGCCUGGACAGACAUGGGUGCAGGGACUAAAUUUGGAGUGACUUGACCAGGUCAUUCUCUUUAGUCCUGCAGUCAGUCCUAUUGAACCGUCUUAUGGUGAGCAGGCAGGCGAUACGGAUUGCUAGCAGUUGUACUGUACCAUCUCAUGGUCACGUGAGUGAUCAGGACAUGGACACAGAUUUCUCUGAAAGCAUGGGCCCUGCCAAUGCAUGCAUCAUGGUGCUAGUGGGGGAGGUUCAUGCUGUGGAACGCUGAUUCUGGGCUCAGGAAACAAGCACAGACUGGUGGGACCGCAUAGUGUUGCAUGUCUGGGACGAUUCCCAGUGGCUGCGAAACUUUCGCAUGCGUAAGGGCACUUUCAUAGAACUUUGUGACUUGCUUUCCCCUGCCCUGAAGCGCAUGAAUACCAAGAUGAGAGCAGCCCUCACAGUUGAGAAGCGAGUGGCGAUAGCCCUGUGGAAGCUUGCAACGCCAGACAGCUACCGGUCAGUUGGGAAUCAAUUUGGAGUGGGCAAAUCUACUGUGGGGGCUGCUGUGAUGCAAGUAGCCCACGCAAUCAAAGAUCUGCUGAUAUCAAGGGUAGUGACCCUGGGAAAUGUGCAGGUCAUAGUGGAUGGCUUUGCUGCAAUGGGAUUCCCUAACUGUGGUGGGGCCAUAGACGGAACGCAUAUCCCUAUCUGGGCACCGGAGCACCAAGCCGCCGAGUACAUAAACCGCAAGGGGUACUUUUCGAUAGUGCUGCAAGCUCUGGUGGAUCACAAGGGACGUUUCACCAGCAUCAACGUGGGAUGGCCAGGAAAGGUACAUGACGCUCGCAUCUUCAGGAACUCUGGUCUGUUUCAAAAGCUGCAGGAAGGGACUUUAUUCCCAGACCACAAAAUAACUGUUGGGGAUGUUGAAAUGCCUAUAUGUAUCUUUGAGGACCCAGCCUACCCCUUAAUGCCAUGGCUCAUGAAGCCGUACACAGGCGGCCUGGACAGUAGUCAGGAGCUGUUCAACUACAGGCUGAGCAAGUGCAGAAUGGUGGUAGAAUGUGCAUUUGGACGUUUAAAGGCGCGCUGGCGCAGUUUACUGACUCGCUUAGACCUCAGCGAAACCAAUAUUCCCACUGUUAUUACUGCUUGCUGUGUGCUCCACAAUAUCUGUGAGAGUAAGGGGGAGACGUUUAUGGCGGGGUGGGAGGUUGAGGCAAAUUGCCUGGCUGCUGGUUACGCGCAGCCAGACACCAGGGCGGUUAGAAGAGCACAGGAGGGCGCGGUACGCAUCAGAGAAGCUUUGAAAACCAGUUUCAUGACUGGCCAGGCUACGUGUGAAAGUUCUGUUUGUUUCUCCUUGAUGAAACCCCCCGCCCCUUGGUUCACUCUACUUCCCUGUAAGCUAACCACCCGCCCCUCCUCCCAUCAAUCACCGCUUGCAUAGGCAAUAAAGUCAUUGUUGCUUCA